UUUGCGUGAGUUAUGAUUUUAUGGGAGGUUCUUAUUUUUUUUAUAUCCCUCUGCCACCUCAAAAUCAUGGUCAGCAGAGGAAGCUCCAUUCCUCUUUACUUCUGAUGAAAUUUGGAGAAUCUAAAAAAUCAUAGCAAAUGUUCUAAAACGUAAGCUAUAUGUUCUAUAAAUAUGUCAGAUGCUCUAAAAUUUAUGUCAUAUUUUUAGUUUUAAAUAUUAUUAUUGUUCUAAAAAUAAGUCGAACAGAACAGAGCCUUGGUUUUAAAUACACAUUCUUUUAGUUUUUCAUAUUAUUAUUGUUUAAUUUAUUAUAUUAUUAUUAUUAUGAUUAUUGUUAUUAUUUUCUAAAAUCCAAUUAAAACCCCCUUAUUUCUUCGAUUUCCCUAUCAAUGGCGAUAUUAAAAUACCCAUUUAAAUACGAAAUUUUUCGAUCAAUCGCCUUUACUCUCCAUCAUAUUGCACUUUGUGAUUUAAUCCAAAAGCCAAAUUUCAUCCAAAUUUGUUCGAAACUACAAUUCCCCUUAGAGUUCAUCCAAACUCUAAUGGACGAAGUAGACAUCAAUUCCUUGUAUAGCUCGUUAAUGGCGAUAUCAUCCAUUGAGACAACCGAACUGGUAUCCUCAAAAAAAAAAAAAAAAACGAACUGGAGGCAUUGGAAAUUGUAAAAGGGGUUUCAUUGAAAGAGAUUGCGAAGAGAAGAAUUUAGCAACACUUCAUUUCAGAGCACAACAAAGUUGUGACGGAGGAGUUGCAAGAAGAUAUUCAAAGGGAUUGGUGUUUCAUUCACAUUCCUACUGUAGUGCUGACGGGGUGCUUGCAAAAAAUAUUCAAUGAGUCCCAAUCCUGGAAAGGCCAAGAACACCUCCUGAAUUAUUUGGUUGUCAGAAUCCGGAACAUAAGCACUCGAUAGAACAUCAUCAGACUGCACAAUCUGUGUACAAGAAUUCAGUCAUUCCUAGGCUUAAGUCCUGGGUUCCAAGGGUUGUGGAUGAGGAAGACUCCCUUGAAGUGGAGAUGGCUCGAAAACCGAGUGUAUUAAUUAAGUCUUCUAUGUAUAUGCAAACACCUUUUUUCACAAUUGUUAACAUGAGGAAUUUUGUCUUAAUCAUAUUUAUCAUGGAUUCAAUGGGUAAUGAAAAGGGUUAUUUUUUGACAUGAGUUGGGGAGAAUAGGAGUUAAACUGGUUAACUGUAAAGAAGUCGAGUGAUAAUGAUUAAUGGGGUUCUGAUUGCA